UGUGAGUUGUUGAAUCUAAUGAAUGCAUCUUUACCCAAUUUAAUUGAUAUAUCUGAGUUUGCUGUUUAAACCUAGUUGAUUUAAGUAGGGUUUUCUUAAAAUGGAUACCUGUUGAAGCCACAUAUGCUGCUCAAUUAUCUCCAACGCAACACAGCUGUGUAAAUUGCCUGUGGCGCAUGCGCAGAGGCUCACAUGAGGGAUAUGAUUGUGACGUGGGCUUUUUCGCGGUGAGGAAGGACAGGAGAAGCUGAAGAAGCAAUGGCAGAGACCUGAGCGACAUCCAAAUGAAUAUGAUUACAUGUGGAAGUGUAAAGACUGUGGUGCAGAGGAAACCUCAAGAUUUCAGCUAUUGAAGCACUACAGAAAAUUGUCUUCAUGGUACAGGGAGCACUACGGAGCAUUUGAGCUCCAGUCAUCUUCAGCCAGAGAGAUUGUGUUGGCAGAGUUAAGUGAACUGACCGACAACUAUCCCCUGAGUGACUACAAGUGUGGAACCCUCCGAAUGGUCACCCUUAAAAGAUACAUACACAUGUCAGAGUAACCUGUUGACAAGUAUGGCCACUUCUGCAGUGCUUUGCAUCAUCCUAGGAGAAAAUGACUCUGCAAAAGUAACCCUGCCUUUGGGAAUACCAAGCUCUGUUGAGGAACUUCAAAGUGAGAUUAAGAGACAAUGUGAGGUGUUUGGAGACUUUAGACUGCAAUACAAGGACCUUGAUUUUGAUGAGUUUAUAAACCUUACCUCCACCUCAGACAUUCAAAACAAGGGGAAAAUCAAAGUAAUUUACCCCCCAAGUGCCUUAUCUACAAGCAGUCCUGGCUUCUCUGCACGGACAUCCAGCCAGGAUGAGAUCAAUUCAAUCUCAUCUGUGGACACUGAUCUUCCCUUAUCUUCUGAUUCUUCGUCAACAUCAUCCCUCAGAAGUGAGCCAUGGCCAAACGCCUUUCCUGUGCCGGAGUUUGUCUAUGAUGUCGAGAUCCAACUCCAGCGUGCCAAUAGUGACUUUCAAAGUAAUGGUACCCUCUUCAGUCCUAAUCCAAGAAUGAAGUCAGAUAUUCUUGAAACUUUGGCAUCACAGAUUGUGAAAUAUAAAGCAUAUCCCUCAAGUGCUGAAUUUGAUUCGGUAGCUGAAGCACUUGUGAAAAAGCACCCAUGUUUAAGGGAGCAAGGCUCUGUUACUGGCUUUUAUGGUUGGAAGAUCAGUUUAAAAUUCAAGAUGGGAAACUACCGCACUAAGCUGCGCAACAUUGGAUGUUCAGAGCUGACUGUCAAUUCUUUAAAGCGUCAACAGGAUGAUCAACGCACAUCUCGCAAUCAAGUGAAGAAACCUAAAAGAGCGGAGGUAAACUAC